UAACACAUGCAAGUCGAACGCGAAAGGGGCUUCGGCCCUGAGUAGAGUGGCAGACGGGUGAGUAACGCGUGGGUGACCUACCCUCGAGCGGGGGAUAACGUCCCGAAAGGGACGCUAAUACCGCAUGACAUCCUGCCCUUGGACGGGCGGAGAUCAAAGCUGGGGAUCGCAAGACCUGGCACUUGAGGAGGGGCCCGCGUCCGAUUAGCUAGUUGGUGGGGUAAUGGCUCACCAAGGCAUCGAUCGGUAGCCGGCCUGAGAGGGCGGACGGCCACACUGGGACUGAGACACGGCCCAGACUCCUACGGGAGGCAGCAGUGGGGAAUUGUUCGCAAUGGGCGCAAGCCUGACGACGCAACGCCGCGUGGAGGAUGAAGAUUUUCGGAUCGUAAACUCCUGUCGAAUGGGACGAAUGGCUCGGCCGUGAAUAACGGCCGGGAAUGACGGUACCGUGAGAGGAAGCCCCGGCUAACUCCGUGCCAGCAGCCGCGGUAAUACGG
rnacentral:rRNA from 1 species